rnacentral:rRNA from 1 species
GUGCAGCAGUCGCGAAACUUCACACUGUGCGAAAGCACGAUGAGGGAAUCCCAAGUGCUUGCACGUAAGUGUAAGCUGUUUCUCUGUCUAAAACGCAGAGAGAGUAAGGGCUGGGUAAGACGGGUGCCAGCCGCCGCGGUAAUACCUGCAGCUCAAGUGGUGACCGUUAUUAUUGGGCCUAAAACGUCCGUAGCCGGUUUAAUAAAUGCCUGGGUAAAUUGUGUAGCUUAACUAUACGAAUUCCGGGUAGACUGUUAAACUUGAGACCGGGAGAAGUUAGAGGUACUCCUGGGGUAGAGGUGAAAAUUCUGUAAUCCUAGGGGGACCACCAGUGGCGAAGGCGUCUAACUAGAACGGGUCUGACGGUGAGGGACGAAGCCCUGGGGCGCAAACGGGAUUAGAUACCCCGUAGU